GUGCUGGCUUCAGCAGCACAUAUACUAAAAUUGAAGAAAUACAGAGAUUAGCCUGGGCCCUGGGGAAGGAUAACAUGCAAAAAAAGUAAAAUAAAAUAAAAAUGC
ensembl:snRNA U6 U6 spliceosomal RNA